CCCGGGAGGCAGCAGUAGGGAAUCUUCCGCAAUGGACGAAAGUCUGACGGAGCAACGCCGCGUGAGUGAUGAAGGUUUUCGGAUCGUAAAACUCUGUUAUUAGGGAAGAACAAACGUGUAAGUAACUGUGCACGUCUUGACGGUACCUAAUCAGAAAGCCACGGCUAACUACGUGCCAGCAGCCGCGGU
rnacentral:rRNA from 1 species